rnacentral:rRNA from 1 species
CCGGUAAUAAGUUUUCUAGGAGCACUUCCAAGUGAUUCUUCCGCAGUAACACUUAUUGAAGCCUUUGUGGCCCCGCAAGGGGUCUGCCCUCGCGACUCUAAAUAAUGGGGGCAGUGCCUGGAAUUUCCAGGUAUGCAAGUCAGCGUUAGCUGGCGACACCUUCGAAUUGCGGGGACACCCUAAAGCUUAUAUCUACCAAACUGACGAAGAAACUCGUUAGUGGCUCAUGCUAACAUCAUGAGGUACGGUAAAAAGGAUAUAAGAUACUUUUUAAAAAGUAAUGGGCAAUCCGCAGCCAACCCCUAACGCUAUCACCAAAUAUGCUGAGCUAUGGGAGAGGUUCACAGACUAAGUGGAGGUGGGCAGGAUACCUGCUUAAGAUAUAGUCGGGCCUUUGGGGAAACCUAAAGGGGCAAGUUACUGUAAAAACCGUUCCGUAGGUGAACCUGCGGAAGGAUCAUUAUCGAGUAUUGGGUCUUUUUAAGGCCCUACUCCCACCCUUUGUGUACCAAACUUUUUAUUCAGUUGCCUUGGCGGGUUCGCUCCUUAAUUGUUAGGAAGGACUCUUCCUUUCUCUUAAGGGCAAGCCGCCAGGGGGACUACCAUUAAACUCUUAUGAAUUGGGAUGUCUGAGUUAAAAUUUUAAUAAAUUAAAACUUUCAACAACGGAUCUCUUGGUUCUGGCAUCGAUGAAGAACGCAGCGAAAUGCGAUAAGUAAUGUGAAUUGCAGAAUUCAGUGAAUCAUCGAAUCUUUGAACGCACAUUGCGCCCUUUGGUAUUCCGAGGGGCAUGCCUGUUCGAGCGUCAUUUCAAACCCUCAAGCUCUAGCUUGGUAUUGGGCCUAUCGUCGUUAAAAGACGUGCCUGAAACUCGUUGGCAGUGGUGCCUAGCUCCUCAGCGUAGUCAUAUAUUUCGCUCUGGAGAUCUAGGUAUCAUUUCGCCAGAUAACCUCUUUUUUUUUUCUAUGGUUUGACCUCGGAUCAGGUAGGGAUACCCCGCUGAACUUAAGCAUCAUAUAAGAGGAGAGAGAA